rnacentral:rRNA from 1 species
GCGGCGUGCUUAACACAUGCAAGUCGAACGGUGAAGCAGAGCUUGCUCUGUGGAUCAGUGGCGAACGGGUGAGUAACACGUGAGCAAUCUGCCCCUGACUCUGGGAUAAGCGCUGGAAACGGCGUCUAAUACCGGAUACGAGCUGCGACCGCAUGGUCAGUAGCUGGAAAGAAUUUCGGUCAGGGAUGAGCUCGCGGCCUAUCAGCUUGUUGGUGAGGUAAUGGCUCACCAAGGCGUCGACGGGUAGCCGGCCUGAGAGGGUGACCGGCCACACUGGGACUGAGACACGGCCCAGACUCCUACGGGAGGCAGCAGUGGGGAAUAUUGCACAAUGGGCGCAAGCCUGAUGCAGCAACGCCGCGUGAGGGAUGACGGCCUUCGGGUUGUAAACCUCUUUUAGCAGGGAAGAAGCGAAAGUGACGGUACCUGCAGAAAAAGCGCCGGCUAACUACGUGCCAGCAGCCGCGGUAAUACGUAGGGCGCAAGCGUUAUCCGGAAUUAUUGGGCGUAAAGAGCUCGUAGGCGGUCUGUCGCGUCUGCUGUGAAAACCCGAGGCUCAACCUCGGGCCUGCAGUGGGUACGGGCAGACUAGAGUGCGGUAGGGGAGAUUGGAAUUCCUGGUGUAGCGGUGGAAUGCGCAGAUAUCAGGAGGAACACCGAUGGCGAAGGCAGAUCUCUGGGCCGUAACUGACGCUGAGGAGCGAAAGGGUGGGGAGCAAACAGGCUUAGAUACCCUGGUAGUCCACCCCGUAAACGUUGGGAACUAGUUGUGGGGUCCAUUCCACGGAUUCCGUGACGCAGCUAACGCAUUAAGUUCCCCGCCUGGGGAGUACGGCCGCAAGGCUAAAACUCAAAGGAAUUGACGGGGACCCGCACAAGCGGCG